rnacentral:rRNA from 1 species
AACGAACGCUGGCGGCGCGCCUAAUACAUGCAAGUCGAGCGAGAAGACGUAGCAAUACGUUUGUAAAGCGGCGAACGGGUGAGGAAUACAUGGGUAACCUACCCUCGAGUGGGGAAUAACUAGCCGAAAGGUUAGCUAAUACCGCGUACGCUCCUUGGACUUCGGUUCAGGGAGGAAAGCGAUACCGUGGGUAUCGCGCUCUUGGAUGGGCUCAUGUCCUAUCAGCUUGUUGGUGAGGUAACGGCUCACCAAGGCUUCGACGGGUAGCUGGUCUGAGAGGACAAUCAGCCACACUGGCACUGCGACACGGGCCAGACUCCUACGGGAGGCAGCAGUAAGGAAUAUUGCGCAAUGGGCGAAAGCCUGACGCAGCGACGCCGCGUGGGGGAUGAAGGUCUUCGGAUUGUAAACCCCUUUCGGGAGGGAAGAUGGAACGAGCAAUCGUUCGGACGGUACCUCCAGAAGCAGCCACGGCUAACUUCGUGCCAGCAGCCGCCGU